rnacentral:rRNA from 1 species
UACGUAGGUGGCAAGCGUUGUCCGGAAUUACUGGGCGUAAAGGGCGUGUAGGCGGCCUGAUAAGUCAGACGUGAAAUCUCUGGGCUUAACCUGGAGGCUGCGUUUGAAACUGUCGGACUUGAGGACCGGAGAGGGCAGUGGAAUUCCCAGUGUAGCGGUGGAAUGCGUAGAGAUCCGGAGGAAGACCGGUGGCGAAGGCGGCCUGCUGGGCAGUUACUGACACUGAGGCGCGACAGCGUGGGGAGCAAACAGG